AACGAACGCUGGCGGCAUGCCUAACACAUGCAAGUCGAACGAGACCGUCGGGUUUCGUUUGGCGCGUGUGCGUAACCGGUUGGAAACUGCCCUUGGGUUCGGCAUAUCAUUUGGAAACGACUGCUAAAACCGGAUGAUAACGUAAGUCCAAAUAUUGAUCGCCCAAGGAUGAGCCCGCGUAGGAUUAGCUCGUGGGUGAGGUAAAUGCGCAUCAAGGCGCGGAUCCUUAGCUGGUCUGAGAGGAUGAGCAGCCACACUGGGACGGAGACGCGGCCGAGAAUCGUACGGGAGGAGGAAGUGGGGAAUCUUGAAACGGGGGCGACGGGUAGAAGCAGCACGGCCGCGUGAGUGAUGAAGGUCUUAGGGUUGUAAAGCCCUCUUACACGGGAGGAUAAUGACGGUACCGGGAGAAUAAGCACCGGCUAACUACGUG
rnacentral:rRNA from 1 species